GUUCACUGUAAGGGGAACAGACAGAGCAAGUUUCAUCUCUGGUAAAAGCGUACAUAACCAAAGAAUAGAACGACUCUGGCGUGAUGUGUGGACAGCGGUGACUAGCACAUAUUACGAUACCCUCCAUAGUCUUGAAGAAGAUGGCUUGCUGGACAUCUCAAACACACUGCAUAUUUUCCUUGUCCACUUUGUGUUUCUUCCCCGUCUCUGCAAAGACUUGCAGGCAUUUGCUGAGGGCUGGAACCAUCACCCCCUACGCACUGAGGGAAAUAUGACCCCACAUCUGUUGUGGGAGAUGGGACUUAUGCAGAAUAGCAUCAGUGAGCUUGAAAGUUUAGAGGAUAUAGAGGACCUUGAUAUAGACUGGGAAAGUGCCAUUUUCCAUGAGGAAUCAUCAACAGAAUUUGGAGUUGUGGUUUCAGAACUCCUCCCCCCUCUAAAUGAACAAGAAAUAAGAAGCCUCCAAGCUGCUGUUGACCAUACAGUGACAUCACACUCAAAUGGUAGAGACAUCUAUAUUCAGUGCCUUCGUAUUUUUCAUUGACCAAUUGUGAAUAUGCUAAAUCUAUUGUCCUUUGCUUGUUCAUAUCUACUAGAGAUGGAAACAUGUAUUUUCCAAUGAAUCUUUAUUGAACACCAGAAAAAAUGUUCAAAUAGUGAACAGUGUAAUAUUCAAUAUCACUCUUUUAAGGUGUUACCCUAAACUAAAGCUGAGUAACACAAAGAAGCAUGUGGUGCUGAACAGUGUUUGUGGAAUACUUACCAUAUGACAGAUUAAACU